CCUCCGCAAUGCGAGCAAUCGCGACGGGGGGACCCCAAGUGCCACUCUUAACGGGGUGGCUUUUCUUAAGUGUAAAAAGCUUUUGGAAUAAGGGCUGGGCAAGACCGGUGCCAGCCGCCGCGGUAACACCGGCAGCCCAAGUGGUGGCCAUUUUUAUUGGGCCUAAAGCGUUCGUAGCCGGCCUGAUAAGUCUCUGGUGAAAUCCCGCAGCUUAACUGUGGGAAUUGCUGGAGAUACUAUCGGGCUUGAGGUCGGGAGAGGUUAGAGGUACUCCCAGGGUAGGGGUGAAAUCCUAUAAUCCUGGGAGGACCACCUGUGGCGAAGGCGUCUAACUGGAACGAACCUGACGGUGAG
rnacentral:rRNA from 1 species